CUCUCGCCCCUCGUUAAGGAACUGGCCUUUCCAAGAAGUUGAAAUUCAUCAACACGCAGUUGUGAAAGAGCCCAUACGCACACACAUAUAUAGACAGAGAGAGCGAGAGGGACACAUACACUUAAUCAUUGCUUUGUGAGUGCUGACAGUUCCCAGUUUGAGAUGCUAGUGGUCCAGUACGGGCAUGUAAGGCUGCAGCAGCUGUCGGAGUGACGACUAUCUUGUCCCUCCAGACAUUCCCACACACACCUCAGAGCCGCCUCGUCACACUGAGCACGCCCAGUACAGUCACCAGACAUGAAAGAUGUAGUCCGCCCUUUCGUUUUUUUCAUCAACAAGUUGCUAAUAUUUGCACACAACAGCCAAUCAAAUUACACCCCUCCCUUCCGAGCUCCUGAAACACAGUGUCGAUUGGCUGGGAAUGUUCAUGACUCGAUCCGAGCCACUAUCUUUGAUACCCAUUUACAGAGCCAGGACUGUGUACGAACACCAGAGGUUUGUGAACACCGAAGAGACGGCAAGAAGACCGUGAAGAGCAAUUUGCUGAAUUUGACAAAAAGUGUGUGCCUUUAACCAGCCUUGAAUAGCAAGCUUUGGUGGAGGCUGCCUGGGCUCUGACUAAGGUUUUUUUUUUUUUUUUUUAAAGAUAAGUUGCUUUGCUUUUGUAAAACAAGUUGCCAACAUAAAUACAGCACACCAGUUACUGUGGUAGGAAGGUUUCUGAGUUUUCUGCCCUAGGAAAGGCUCAUGAUUGUGUUUGUCACUUUGUUAGUAGUAGCUGCUAAAAAUAUCAAGCCAUGCAACAUUCAUUAACAAUUCCACAUGUUCAUGUUUUCUGUGUGUGAUAGAGAAAUGUAAUUCAGGUCCAUCUUAUUAUUCAGAUGCAUAUUUGAGGUAGAUAAAGAAAAGCACAAGUCAUCUUUCACAACACAACUGUUAAAAAUAGAGAAACUGUAUUCACCUCUAAAAUAGUUUGAUUUGCGGUUGCUUGCCGAAUGGACCAGCAGAUGGC
ensembl:lncRNA